rnacentral:rRNA from 1 species
UUCCUACGGGAGGCAGCAGUGGGGAAUAUUGGACAAUGGACCAAGAGUCUGAUCCAGCAAUUCUGUGUGCACGAUGAAGUUUUUCGGAAUGUAAAGUGCUUUCAGUUGGGAAGAAAGAAAUGACGGUACCAACAGAAGAAGUGACGGCUAAAUACGUGCCAGCAGCCGCGGUAAUACGUAUGUCACGAGCGUUAUCCGGAUUUAUUGGGCGUAAAGCGCGUCUAGGUGGUUAUAUAAGUCUGAUGUGAAAAUGCAGGGCUCAACUCUGUAUUGCGUUGGAAACUGUAUAACUAGAGUACUGGAGAGGUAAGCGGAACUACAAGUGUAGAGGUGAAAUUCGUAGAUAUUUGUAGGAAUGCCGAUGGGGAAGCCAGCUUACUGGACAGAUACUGACGCUGAAGCGCGAAAGCGUGGGUAGCAAACAGGAUUAGAUACCCUGGUAGUCCACGCCGUAAACGAUGAUUACUAGGUGUUGGGGGUCGAACCUCAGCGCCCAAGCAAACGCGAUAAGUAAUCCGCCUGGGGAGUACGUACGCAAGUAUGAAACUCAAAGGAAUUGACGGA